ACGGAGGGUCCAAGCGUUAUCCGGAUUUAUUGGGUUUAAAGGGUCCGUAGGCGGGUCAUUAAGUCAGUGGUGAAAUCCUACAGCUCAACUGUAGAACUGCCAUUGAAACUGAUGACCUUGAAUAUAAUUGAAGUGGGCGGAAUGUGUCAUGUAGCGGUGAAAUGCUUAGAUAUGACACAGAACACCGAUUGCGAAGGCAGCUCACUAAGUUAUUAUUGACGCUGAGGGACGAAAGCGUGGGUAGCGAACAGG
rnacentral:rRNA from 1 species